CACAAAAUAUUUUGUUCUGGAUUAAUUUUAAGUAAAAAGUGUAAAUAGUUUAAGUUAGGUUUAAGUAAAAAGUGGAAUUUUUUUAAACAAAUUUUUACAAAAAAACAUUUGUGGAUUUAAUGAACAUAACAGAAUAUUAAACAAAAACGGACAAGGCAUAAGCAGAAACUGGCGACUCCUCUGCCCUCGAACUCCUCUGCAGACAAUACACAAGGCUGAAACAGAGUCAGCAAUUGUACAGGUGCCACACAGGAUAUACACAAAGCAGUCAAAAGUGCAGCAGCGAUAUACAUAUGUACAUACACACAUACGACUUACUAAAAAAAAGGUAAUUGAUCAGUAUUAAUUGGCUACUCUUGAAAACCGCUAAAACCGAAAACCAACUACACACAUGGUGCAUAAUGGUCAUGCAAAUAAUGGACACAACCGAUGAUGACAUGGAAACGAUUUUAAAUUGAAGUUUGGAGCGUGGAAUAGGCCUACUGGGGAUACCACGUUAAAAAAAACGCGCCUAGGACUCUACCACUCUACUGGUGGUGUGGAAAAGAGUUCGUUACAUUGUACAAAUAUAAGCGUAUUCCAGUUAAUAAAUAAUUAUAUAUCUGUAUAUGUAGUUAAUGCAUUU